GCGGAAGGCCCUUCGGGGUACUCGAGCGGCGAACGGGUGAGUAACACGUGAGCAACCUGCCCCUGACUCUGGGAUAAGCCUGGGAAACCGGGUCUAAUACCGGAUACGACCUUCUCCUGCAUGGGAUGAGGGUGGAAAGUUUUUUCGGUCGGGGAUGGGCUCGCGGCCUAUCAGCUUGUUGGUGGGGUAGUGGCCUACCAAGGCGACGACGGGUAGCCGGCCUGAGAGGGCGACCGGCCACACUGGGACUGAGACACGGCCCAGACUCCUACGGGAGGCAGCAGUGGGGAAUAUUGCGCAAUGGGCGGAAGCCUGACGCAGCGACGCCGCGUGGGGGAUGACGGCCUUCGGGUUGUAAACCUCUUUCAGCAGGGACGAAAUCAGACGUGUACCUGCAGAAGAAGCGCCGGCUAACUACGUGCCAGCAGCCGCGGUAAUACGUAGGGCGCAAGCGUUGUCCGGAAUUAUUGGGCGUAAAGAGCUCGUAGGUGGCUUGUCGCGUCGGGUGUGAAAGCCUGGGGCUUAACCCCGGGUCUGCAUUCGAUACGGGCUGGCUAGAGGUAGGUAGGGGAGAACGGAAUUCCUGGUGUAGCGGUGAAAUGCGCAGAUAUCAGGAGGAACACCGGUGGCGAAGGCGGUUCUCUGGGCCUUACCUGACGCUGAGGAGCGAAAGCGUGGGGAGCGAACAGGAUUAGAUACCCUGGUAGUCCACGCUGUAAACGUUGGGCGCUAGGUGUGGGGGCCUUCCACGGUUUCCGCGCCGUAGCUAACGCAUUAAGCGCCCCGCCUGGGGAGUAC
rnacentral:rRNA from 1 species